GGUCUACAAAUAGAACAGGCACUGAUACUUUUAUCAGUGCCGGGUCUAAUGCCGGCACUAAUACUCUUAUCAGUGCCGGGUCUAUC
rnacentral:ncRNA from 15 species